GUGGCGUAGCAAACACACCACGGAGCACAAUGUCCACAGGCCAAUGAUUAGAGUCUGUCCUGUCAGGACUGGUUAGAGACUGGGUCUCAGGUAAGGCAGGCAGAGGUGAAUCAGAGGGAGUUUAUAUUUAAAGAUCACAGCUAGAGUAUUUGUGUUUCCCUCCAGGUAGAGUUAACACACUUGUUCAUUUAGUGUCAUGAGAACAAAGUCAUUAAACACUAUAGACUUUCUUUUCCUUACGCCAGAUGGGGUCAUAAUUUCACUGAAGCAGGUACGGGGAUGACAGCAGCCACACGAACUGCUAACUGGCAGACCACUCUAAGGGACUUUUUCUUCUCAGCAAUUUACACAUCCACUGUUGUCUCCAAGCCCUUCCUUCCUGGCUACUCAAUACCCUCUGUGUGACUUUCCCUCCCUUCAGCUGUCCCCAGCUAGGCUAGGGGACAGGCAAGCUCUGGAAGCCACAGAGGGAAGCCCCUUUGGUCCUAUCUUCAUUCAGUCCUGGAGACAAGGAACAAAGGCCUCCUCUUCCUCUCACUUCCUCGGACAUUUCUGCUGCCAAUGUGAAGCCCCAAUGUAUCUGUUGUCAUCGGAGGGAACACAAAGACUGGAACAACUGUCGUGGAGUAUUUCAAAGGAGGCUUUCUUGGAAGAACAUGAAAGAGAACAAACUCAACAGAAAAGAACGGCUCAGUCUGAGUACCUACUUGGACGAAGGUUGUGAAGGUUGGGAACGGGAAUGACCCUCGUGACCCACAGGUGCCUCGGUGUCAGGAAGCACACAGAAUGCCAACCAGAAAGAGAGGUCAGGGAUGGGA
rnacentral:lncRNA from 1 species